UCUCUAGAAAAGAUUACACAAAUGGUAAGGAAAAAAAGACUUAUUUCCUGAAUCAUACUCUAGCCUGCAGAGUCAGCACUUCUGGGAAGCAACCUGUGACUUUCCUCUACCCAGUCUGAUUUUCCUGAGUAAACCAGUGUCUCCUGAGCUCUUGCCAAUGGCAGCAGAAGCUGCUCCUGUCUCCAGCCCCUAACCACAGCUUCGGCAGUGCGUGACACUUCUCCCCAGCCCGUCGCGCGGGGAACCUCUGCCGCCUGACAGAGGCAGGACGCUGCGGCCCUUCCCGCGGUCCCAGCCGACGGAGGCCGGAGCAGCGUGCGAGGCUGCGGCCCGGUGACGCUCGCUGUAACGAUGCCGCGGGCAGCACGGCGCGGGAGCCUGGCCCGCUGCCCCCGAGUCGGGGGGCUGCCGGAAGCAAAGGGACAAGUGCCAAGACGUGGGAAUAACAGGUUCACUUCCAAGCUCUGUAGCAGAUGAGUCUAGAAGCUCUGUUGCCCUUCUCACUUUUAGCCCCCCGUGGGAUAGCCGCUUCCAGCUCGGCCGCAUCAGUACGCUGAAGACGUUAAGCCUGAGCGUGGGGAGCAGAGGAAAAGGAGACCCUCGCGCAGAGCAUCGAGGAAGGCUCUGACCUCAGCCCCACCUCGGUGAAGAGCAUUUAAAAGGCUUGGUAAGGAGAAUCCCAAGCUACUGCCAGGACCCGAGCUGGUGUUGGUUUCUAACACUGCUUCAGACGUGGGACGCUGCUAUGUUAUGGACGGUAUCCUGGAAACUUCAACAGGGACACGGGGAAAAAAAUCACUGUUCUGUGUUUGGGAGCGGAGUUUUGGGCUGUGCAGUAAGCACCCAUCCUAACCCUGCCGGAGGAGAACAGCUCCCCUUUCCUAGCAGCAACCAGAGUUGUUGUUAAUUAAUGUCUUGCUGAAAACUAAGUCUUUGCCAUCUGUUCCGCCCCCUCACUACGAAUGCCACUCUCAUUCUGGUGCUUAUGUAAUUAAAAAUGAAAAUAUAUUUUGGUAGAGUGCUGCAUAGGCAUCUGCGCUGCUUCUCCUGUGCCCGGUCCCCUCGCUCCCCCCGCCCCAACCCCUAAUAAAAGCCAAAGGCGAGAAUUGUUCGACCCUCCGGCAGCUUCACGCCGGAGCCGCGGUGCCGGAGCCGAGCCGGGGAGUGUCGCGGGCGCCGGAGCCGAGCGCGCUGCGGUCGAGCGGUGCCGCCUUCGGAAACCAAACCCCGGCUGCCGCGUUCACGGGAAACCUGCGGCAGGAAGCUGCCCCUUCGCCCGAAGCCGCCCCGAGUUCCCGCGGGGCGAUGACCUGAAUCUCGAAGGUGAAAAGGGAAAAGAGAGAGGCCUGGUCGCUCCGUAAGUGACGGCCUGACCUCCGAGCUCGGCCGGGCUGCUCGCGCUGCAAACGCGGCCUCUGCGGAGCGAAGGGUGGAGGAAGAGCGAAGAGGAGGGGUAGCUUUCCUGUAAGCGGGUUACAGCAAUUACCGAGGUCUCUUACAGCAAAUGAAGUUGUCAGCGUGAGUCACAUUCCCUUUUUUCUCUCGCUGCCAAGUUUUAGGCAGUAACGAGACAGAGGGAGGAAAAAAAAAGCGCAAAAGCAACAAUGGAGAAAAGUUGAACUGAAACAACCCUUCAUUCUGGGUAUUAUUUGGCGUUUUAGUUCUGAUGGUACAUAGAGAUAAAGGGUCUAUAAAUAUCCUGUCUGCUGAAAUUCCUUAUCACAACAUCGCCUGUCAGCUGAACAAAUAGGUUAGGUUUGCCAAAUAAUACAUAAUUACAUAUGUAAAUACAAAAUUACAGAUUGUAUCCCUGCACCGCGUGGAGUGAAGGUCUGAUGGCUGCAAAGGACAGCAACCUUUCCUGCUUCGCCGAGAGAUGCCCAGUCCCAGGGAAGCAGACGACAUGUGCAGCUGCUGCUGCCGAAGCGCUGCGAGCUCCCAGGCUGGACUGAGCUCAGCGGCGAGAUAUUUAUCUGACCAGCUAGGCGAGAUGAAAGCAUCUUCUGACAGUUUGGGGAGUAUCGUAGCAUUUAGCUCUGUUUAGCAAAUGGCUGGGAGCUUUUCUGCUCUGCUUUAGAGCUUUUAAUGAAGCAUUGUGAUUCCCAUUGUGGUCAACUGUUUGACACUUUUAUUAUUACUGGUAUGCGCAGCGUUUUUUAAUGUUUGACAGCUGGAGAAAGAAGUAUUUUGUGCAUUCAAACUUUUAGCACAAAGCUGCUGUUUUCCCUUCUGCCCUUGCCUUUGUCUUUUAUUCUUGCUGAUGCAAAUCAACCAAAGACAGAACUGAUGAAAUUACGUUUGUUUACUUUUUAGUUGAUGGUAAGAAGACAGAGCCUGCCCUUUAUGCAAGACAGAAACAGAGAAUAUGAAUGUUUCUAUGAUGUUUCGAGAAAAAGAUUUUUUCUUAAGUAUAAAAGGCAUUUUUUUGUUUCUUAUGCCUUGAUUUAUAAGAUAAUGCACAACUUCCUAACGUAUGUGGAAUAAGAAUAGAGCAAUGAAGGAUGAUUAGCAAUGGAUUACAUUUGAUAAGCUUAUAUCUGGUUACUGUAGUAAUUCAGCGGUAUAAAUGCUCAUAGCACAUCACAAAACAAACACAUCAGGAUAGUCCUGUCCAUCGCAGCAGGGCCGCCUCUGAUCGCUGUGACAGCUGCACAAAAGAGCCCGCUCCAUCCGAGGCUUUAGCUUCAUACAGAUGCAAAAAUUAUUGGGUCCUGGUUCGAAGAUACUGGUGCAGCGAUGGAGAGCAGGAAGCGCUGAGAGGUAGGGCUGCGGAAAUGGGAUACCCCUGGUUGUUUUGGUGAGUAAUGCUCGCGUCUCGGGGAUUGUGUAAUACCCUUUUUUGAGCGCUCGUCCUGCGAAAGGCGGCCUGCCUUUGUGCCUCCCCGUAGCGCAGCGUGUUGCAGGGAAGACGACCCUGCGCACGUUCCCGGCUGUCAGCAGCCGCGUGGAAGGUGGUGGGACAGGGCAAUCGGGAGCACGGAAUAACAACGGAAAGAUCUCGGGUGGGCUGGAAGGCA